rnacentral:misc_RNA from 1 species
CAAGCUAUUGGUAGUUCUUUCCGUUUGCGCGAAUUGUUCCUCGGGUUGUUAACCGGGUUGUGAAUUGUGGUGCGUCAGUACCAUAUUGGUUCGUCUUAAAAAUUACUCGGGGGUUACUGUUCGGUAGUUGCCCCAUUACUUGUUUUAUUCUAUUCCACUUAAGUGAACAUAUCCGAUUGAUGAUAUAUCUUUCUUCCGCAUUUGCAUAUGGAAAGUGGGUCAGUGUUUUUUGCGCUAAUUUGUAUUUUUUUACCUCUUCUUUUUUGUGUUCAUUUAAAUAUGCCUGUGUGGGUGUGCGUAUUCUCGGAUUACGAUCUUUGAACCUGAAUAUGACGACACAGUAAUGGACAGCUUCGCAACGGCGAAUCCUUUUACAAACAUCAAGGAUUAAAUUUGAAGAAGAAGAAGAAGAUUUCGCUCGCGGAGCGGAAUCUAGAUGCUGGAUAGGACGAGGGAAUAGAGAAGAAAAGAAGAGCGCGAGAGAAGAAACAGAAAACGCAGACGUAUCAGACUCAAACAAAAACCGAGUUUAAGAUAAGGGAAGAAAGAGGGAUGGGCGCUGGGAUGGGUAGGAGUGGCACGAGCGGCGGUCUUCUCGAGGCACUUCCCACGGGAACCCCGUUUCACGUGGCGAUGCUUGGCCUCGAUAGUGCCGGAAAGACAACUGCCCUGUACAGACUCAAAUUCGAUCAAUAUCUCAAUACUGUGCCGACUAUCGGUUUUAACUGCGAAAGAAUUCGCGGUGGCAUCGGAAAAGCUAAAGGUGUUAAUUUCCUUGUAUGGGACGUCGGUGGACAGGAAAAGUUACGGCCAUUAUGGAAAUCAUACACAAGAUGCACAGACGGUAUCAUUUUCGUCGUUGACUCCUGCGACACCGAGAGGCUUGAAGAGGCGAAAAUGGAACUUACUAGGACAGCGAGGAGUCCAGACAAUGCGAAUGUGCCGAUUCUAAUUCUCGCCAACAAACAGGAUUUACCUGGUAUAUAACCGAUACUACAAACAUUAUACAUAUGUACACAUAAAGGACAAUGGGACAAGACAUUUUUCGAAAGGUGCGAAGGAAGUCAGCGAACUGGAAAAGCAUUUGGGAGUGUUAGAACUAACUGGUAUGCCUGGUAGUUCUUGUAUUCGUGUACAACCAGCGUGUGCUAUUACGGGUGAAGGACUCCACGAAGGUUUAGACACGCUAUAUCAAUUGAUUUUAAAGCGACGCAAGCUGGCU